rnacentral:rRNA from 1 species
CCUGAUGACAAUAGCAGUUUGGAACCACUCCUUCCCAUCCCGAACAGGAUAGUGAAACGAACUCGCGCCAAUGAUAGUGCGGAUUCCCGUGUGAAAGUAGGUCAUCGUCAGGC